rnacentral:tRNA from 1 species
UUUUGAAUAAUUUAAGUAAAUAAAGAAUUGUAAAUUGUAAAUUUAUAUGUAGAAUUUUUAUAUUCUUUCAAAAA